GCGAUGCGAACAUACCAGGAAAGCCUACAAGUUUUUCGCUGAACCUGGCUACCUUCAUGAUAAGAAACUUCAAUAUUCUGCUAACCAGGUCAAAGUAACAUCAAAGUGAUAGUAAACCAUUGGUCACCAUGGCUUAGUUGCUCACGAGAUAGGAAAGUGUAUGACAGCUCAGCUGGGGGGAAUGGUUACCUCCCAUUUGGACUUUUCGAAACCAAAGUUGUCAAGGAAAGCUCAACUGAUUUUGAUGGAGUACCUCAUAUUUACAAAAACCCCGUUGCCAAGCAGCUGUCACUGAAGAGAAACCAUGAAUACCAUUACCAAUGGAAUGACUUUUUCAGUUAUAUCAAUGAGACAACUUUCUUCUGUGAAAUAAUUUAUUAUGAUGCAGAAUUUUUUCAGAUCGCCAAAGAUAAUGUGGAUGCCUUCUUCUUUUUAUUUUUACUUGAAUAGGAACCUCGAAUUGUGCAAACUCCUAAUAUUUUAUGUUUCAAGUACAUACUAGCUAGUAUUAUUAUUACAACUACAACAACAACUUAUUUGUACUCAGAAUCAAAAUGAAUUAAAUGAACAACAAUAAGUUGGUUAGGCAUGUACAAGCUCAAGUGCAUUGUCCUCAAGACUUGAUUCUGCAGUAAUCUAUUACUGUCUCAAGGUUUUGUAAUGCUUAGAACUCUUAUUUAGAUGUUUUCUUUUAUUUCGUUUUCUCAAUACAAAGAAGCUGCAUUAACACAUACUACUGAUGACAGACAUUUACACUCUUAGAAGAUUUUAUUACCACUAAUGUUUUUAAGGGGGAUGAAAAAAAUUGAAGUCUUUGGAUGGAUUGAAUAAAAUUCACCAAUUACAGAUAUAGAUGUUUAAUAAUGAACUGUUGUGUCUUCAAGAAACAUGUUUGCAGUUGUACAAUGAAAUAAAAAAUCAUCUUGGCAAA